AUUGAACGCUGGCGGCAGGCUUAACACAUGCAAGUCGAGCGGAGACUUCGGUCUUAGCGGCGAACGGGUGAGUAAUACCUAGGAAUCUGCCUAUUAGUGGGGGAUAACGAAUCGAAAGGUUCGCUAAUACCGCAUACGUCCUACGGGAGAAAGGGGGGGAUCUUCGGACCUCUCGCUAAUAGAUGAGCCUAGGCCGGAUUAGCUAGUUGGUAGGGUAAAGGCCUACCAAGGCGACGAUCUGUAGCUGGUCUGAGAGGAUGGCCAGCCACACUGGAACUGAGACACGGUCCAGACUCCUACGGGAGGCAGCAGUGGGGAAUAUUGGACAAUGGGGGCAACCCUGAUCCAGCCAUGCCGCGUGUGUGAAGAAGGCCUCGGUUGUAAG
rnacentral:rRNA from 1 species